CAAGCUUUGGUUUUUGGUUUUUGUUUUUUUUCUCAGUAAUGCUCUGGCAAUUCAGGGUCUUUUGUGGUUCUACAUGAAUGGAUUAUGUGCUCUAGCUUUGUGGAAAAUGUCAUGGGUAUUUUGAUAAGGAUUGCAUUAAAUUUGUAGAUGCUUAAGAUAGCUUUUGCAUAAUAAAGGAAACCACCAACAAAAUGAAUAGGUAACUCACUGAAUGGAAGAAAAUAUUUGCAAAUGAUAUGACCCAUAAGAGGUUACUACCCAUAAUAUAUAAACAGUUUAUAUAAUUCACUCUCAGAAAACAACCCAAUUUAAAAAAGGGCAGAAGACCUGAAUAGACAUUUUUUUCUAAAGACAUGCAAAUGUCCAACAGUUAAAUAAAAAAGAUGCUCAACAUCACCAAUCUUGAAACAAAUGCAAAUCAAACUAUAAUACAGUAUAACCUCCCACCUGUCAGAAUGACUAUCAUCAAAAAGUCCACAAAAAACAAGAGGCAUCAGGGAUGCAGAGAAAAGGGAACCCUUGUACACUCUUGGUGGGAAUAUAAAUUGGGGUAGCCACUGCAGAAAACAGUAUGGCAGUUCCCCACAAAAGUAAAAUUAGAACUACCAUAUGGCCCAGCAAUCCUUCUCUUGGGUAUUUAUCUGAAAAACAAAAUAAAACAAAACCAAACCACUAAUUCAAAAAGAUAUAUGCACUCCAAUAAGCAACCUAAGUGUUUAUCAAUGAAUAAAGAAGAUGUGUAUAUAUACAAAAUAAACAUUGUAAUAUUACUCAGCCAUAAAAAGAAUGAAAUUUUGUCAUUUGCAACAAUGUUCAUGGACCUAGAGAGUAUUAUGCUUAGUGAAAUAAGGCAAAGAAAGACAAAUACUCUGUUAUCACUUAUAUGUGGAAUCUAAAAAUUUAAGCAAAUGUAUUUACCAAACCAGAAACAGACUCACAGAUAAGGAGAAUGGAGGAGUGGUUACCAGUGGGAAGAGGAAAUGGGGGAGGAAAAUAGUGGCCUGGGAUUAAGAGGUACAAAUACUGUUUAAAAUAAAUAAGCAACAAGAAUAUACUGUAUACCA
rnacentral:lncRNA from 1 species